rnacentral:rRNA from 1 species
GACGAACGCUGGCGGCGUGCCUAAUACAUGCAAGUUGAGCGCUGAAGGUUGGUACUUGUACCAACUGGAUGAGCAGCGCACGGGUGAGUAACGCGUGGGGAAUCUGCCUUUGAGCGGGGGACAACAUUUGGAAACGAAUGCUAAUACCGCAUAAAAACUUUAAACACAAGUUUUAAGUUUGAAAGAUGCAAUUGCAUCACUCAAAGAUGAUCCCGCGUUGUAUUAGCUAGUUGGUGAGGUAAAGGCUCACCAAGGCGAUGAUACAUAGCCGACCUGAGAGGGUGAGCGGCCACAUUGGGACUGAGACACGGCCCAAACUCCUACGGGAGGCAGCAGUAGGGAAUCUUCGGCAAUGGACGAAAGUCUGACCGAGCAACGCCGCGUGAGUGAAGAAGGGUGUCGGAUCGUAAAACUCUGUUGGUAGAGAAGAACGUUGGUGAGAGUGGAAAGCUCAUCAAGUGACGGUAACUACCCAGAAAGGGACGGCUAACUACGUG